UAGGGAAUCUUCCACAAUGGACGCAAGUCUGAUGGAGCAACGCCGCGUGAGUGAAGAAGAUCUUCGGAUCGUAAAACUCUGUUGUUAGAGAAGAACACGAGUGAGAGUAACUGUUCAUUCGAUGACGGUAUCUAACCAGCAAGUCACGGCUAACUACGUGCAG
rnacentral:rRNA from 1 species